rnacentral:tRNA from 1 species
CGGGGCGUGGCGCAGCUUGGUAGCGCGCUUGACUGGGGGUCAAGAGGUCGCAGGUUCAAAUCCUGUCGCUCCGA